rnacentral:lncRNA from 1 species
GCCUUGUUUCCACUCUCAUGGUGCUCUUUGUUUCUCUGAGCUUGCCUCUUCAGACACAAGCAAAUUAUCCUUACCCAUACAAGUCACCACCACCACCACCUCUCCACCACCACAAACCACCAACACUACCACCUCCUCCUGUUUACCACUACAAAUCACCACCUCCCCCUCCCCAUGUCUACAAGUAUAAAUCUCCACCACCACCUCCUUACCACCCCAUAUCACCAGCUCCUCCUCAUCAUCAUGCCUACAAGUAUAAAUCUCCACCACCACCUCCUUACCACCCUGCUCCUAUCUACAAGUACAAGUCACCACCUCCCCUCAUCAUGCUUACAAAUAUAAAUCUCCACCACCCCCUCUUCACCACCCUGCUCCUGUCUACAAGUACAAGUCACCACCUCCUCCUCACCAUGUCUACAAGUACAAAUCUCCACCACCCCCUCGCCAUUACAAGGCACCUUGUCCUCCUUCCCCUGUCUACAAAUAUAAAUCACCACCACCCCCUCCCUACCAUCACAUAUCACCAACCCUACCUCCCUACCACGACAAGUCACCACCACCACCCCCUCCUGUUUACAAGUAUAAAUCACCACCGCCACCUCCCUAUCACUACAAGUCACCACCACCUCCCCCUCCAGUCUACAAGUAUAAGUCUCCUCCACCACCUCCACAUGUUUAUCACUACACUUCACCUCCUCCUCCUCCCUAUCACUAUUAAGCGGCAGAACACCGUCGAAACCAAAAGGGUUAGUUGCUUGUAUUUUCUGAGCUCAGAAUAUGGUUAAAAAUGAAGUUACUUGGAGUAAUAACAAACGGAUGUUUCUUGUUCUUUCUUUCUUUGUUUUCUUUCUCUUUUUUUUUUAAGAGAGCUAAUUAAUUAAGCCGAAGCCAAAUGGAAAACACAUGGGCAAUUUUAAAACAGCACCAUUGGAACAUAACCCCCCUCUCGUUUUUUAUUAUUUUGCAGGGAUGAAGACUUAUCUUUCCUGAUGGUUGCCAUAUAUGAACCAGCA